rnacentral:lncRNA from 1 species
CCAGGCGGGUGCGGAGCCGGCUGCGGGCCUCAGGCGAUGGGGCGAGGAAGCGAUCGGUGGGCCCUGCACCCCCGCGGGCCGCGCUGGGCUCGGAAGGGGAAUCAAUCACACGACUGCCGAGAUGUGCCCUCGACUAUCCGCUCUGCAGGCCUCGCCUCCCGGCUCUGACGAUGUCCUCAAACCUUCUGGAAAGAGGGGACAGGCUCCCUGCCUCUCCUUUCUCCAGCCCUGGAGACAGAGCCCCUUGUAGGAUCCCAGUUCUUACAGUCAGUGGAUGGAUGGAUGGAUGGAUGGAUUUACGGAUUCCUACCAAAACCCUAAGAGAUAGCACAAAACUGGAACUGAUCACAGCCCACUUGAACAGGAAGAUGAAGAGAAGGCUGCUGACGGCUUCUAGGUGUCUCUCUUGGGAUAGAAGCCGAUCAGAGCAGUUUAAUGGACGGCCAGACGUGGGUUAG